UUAACCUCCCCUCUCUCCUCAUUGUGCCCCCUCUCUCCCCUCUCUCCCAACCAACCACGCUCCUCGCAUGUGUCAAACCAAAACCUGUAGUGUAGGGAGAAACCAUGGAGUUGGCGGCGUCACGUCCAAGUAUGCCUACAUCGGAGGCCCAAUUCCCGAGCAGGCACUACCAUCACCGUCGCAGAGAGAGAGCCCUUUGCUCCCACCGCCGGCUUAAGCGACUGCUAGCAUGGUCUGCUGCAAGGAGCACCAGAGGAUCUACACUGAGUGGUUCGCCCUCGCCGACUCAAGUAAGGUGAUCCUGCCCCCUCGCUUCCAAGUCCCAUGCCACCCCCAAAUCAACAGAGGAUUGAGGAUUACUGCUUCGUCAGGGGCUCUAUGCAGAUGGUGAUGGACCGCAUCACGGGUACUAACACCACCAGUUUUAUCAUCAAGUUUGUGCUUUCAUGCGUCGAUCUCUAGUAGGUGAGCGUGGGGCCACUGGUCUCCUCCUACUCCUCUCCUGGUUUGGGUGAUAUCAUCUAGGAUUAUCGUUGACGAAAGGAUAGUGAUAUUUCCCUGAUUAGGGAUUUGCGUGAGGAGGUGUGGGCGAUAGCGGAUUCCAAGCUGCAGGCGUACCUCAGAUUCGUUGAGUUUUUCAUAGCAAUGUAGAUCCGUCCCAAUCAUAUGCAUUAGACAUAGCAUGUGCAUCUGACAAUCAAACAUGAGGUUAAACUUUUGGUUUGGUGGACUGACGAUCUAACACGAUCGAUAUACAAAAUGCAUCUCAUGUCUCUGGCCCAAGCAGGGAACGAGAUCACACAAGACAGCCUAAAACAUGAAGGUAGUUGGUUGUGAGCUAAACUUUACCUUCCUUUUCCCCUUCUAUGAGUUCAUUUGGGCAUGGAUGUUUGAACUCAAUUGUUUAUGGUGCUUCAUGUAGACCUCAACACCUUAGAUUUGCCUGUGAUGGAAGGUGUCAAUGAGCUUCUGGCUAUAAGUCUAAAAUCUUCAGAUUUUGUGUCAUUCAAAUGUAUUUGCCCCUUUAAACACAAUACUAUGAUGGAUUGUUGCGACAUUAUGAUGUAUUGUUUCUUUCUAGAAAACUCAGAUAGUGAGCCUGACUUCGAAGAGACCGAACAAAAAACAAUAAAUGAGCCACAUGUCAAUGUUAGAAGUGAACCUCUUACAACACGUCGUUGUGCCCUUCAACCGUGGAUGGAUGGUAGCAGUAGCAGCAACAGUACUGUUGACCUCCCAGAUGGUGUACCUCCAGCUCCUUCGAGAAGCAAGAAUGACAGGCUUUCUAAAGAGGAAAUGAUUGCAACGAUGGAUGAAGUUGUUCAGGGACGCAAGAUGCAAGUGGAAAAAGCCACUAAAGAGAGUGAAGAUUGAGAGAAAUCUUCUCUCACCUUUUCAAUAAAUAUUUGGCAUGUUUCUGUUUUCAAGAGUCAUCAACUAUGUUUGAUUUUUGCAGGCGGAAGCUAUAAGAAAAAUAUUGGGCAUGGACUCUGACAAGAAGAAAGAAGAGAGGAACAAAAAUUAACAUUUUCCUUUCCUAUUUUUUCUCUGUUUUAAAUAGGUCUGAAGUCCAUUGCAAGUAAAAUAUGCCUAUAUGGAGUUGGAAAGAUUGGGUAUGAGGCUCCUCAAAAUCGUGUCGUCAUUUUUAAUGCAUUUGCAGGUUGACGUUUGGCUCGGUUUUUAGAAUCUUCACUAAUAUGUGUUAUAUUGUUACUUCCAGAGCACAAACUCUUUUUUGAAAUGCUCUCCCAAAAAGAGGACACAUGCUGAAAUGAUGAAUUUGUUUUCAAAAUAUGGGAGUAUAAAGGAUUUGCAGAUUUUGAGAGGUUCUCAGCGAAUGAGCAAAGUUAAAUCAUCUUGGUUCAUAUUAGGAACGGAGCAUCACCGUAAUCACUUUUAGCUUCCUCUUUCUAACUUGCUUAUCAACUAUGGAUGUUGCAGCUGGUUGUGCCUUUCUAAAAUAAGAAACAAAAGAGCAAGCUAUGGCUGUUAUAGAAGCUUUAAAUGGAACACACAAAAUAGAGGUUUGUAUAAAUAAAAGAUUCAAAAAGAAUCUUUUUCUUAAUGAUGGUAUUAUUUGCCUUCUCAUAAAACAUAUUACAUACCCCUACCACUCCUAACAGGAUUAUGUAGCUCAAUGAUAUAUGAAUUGUAAACCCUAGUAUUUGAUUCUUGGGACUUGAGUCACUCAAGAAAUAAUAAUAGAGAUACUUUGGUUAUGUGUGUUA